rnacentral:rRNA from 1 species
CAAGCCCUGGAAACGGGGUCUAAUACCGGAUAUUGACCUUCACGGGCAUCUGUGAGGUUCGAAAGCUCCGGCGGUGCAGGAUGAGCCCGCGGCCUAUCAGCUUGUUGGUGAGGUAAUGGCUCACCAAGGCGACGACGGGUAGCCGGCCUGAGAGGGCGACCGGCCACACUGGGACUGAGACACGGCCCAGACUCCUACGGGAGGCAGCAGUGGGGAAUAUUGCACAAUGGGCGAAAGCCUGAUGCAGCGACGCCGCGUGAGGGAUGACGGCCUUCGGGUCGUAAACCUCUUUCAGCAGGGAAGAAGCGAAAGUGACGGUACCUGCAGAAGAAGCGCCGGCUAACUACGUGCCAGCAGCCGCGGUAAUACGUAGGGCGCAAGCGUUGUCCGGAAUUAUUGGGCGUAAAGAGCUCGUAGGCGGCUUGUCACGUCGGUUGUGAAAGCCCGGGGCUUAACCCCGGGUCUGCAGUCGAUACGGGCAGGCUAGAGUUCGGUAGGGGAGAUCGGAAUUCCUGG